GAUUUGUAUUGGCUUAACUGCGGAGGAUUUUUUUUCUUUCCCUUUUACCCCUAAUAGUGGUCGAUUUGCUCCUUCCAGGGAGGCCUAUAUUUGGCGAACUGUCCAUAUCGGCUAGAGAAGUAGUGUCAAUCAGUGAAUGUUUUUAUUCUUAUGCCUUAUCUGAAUAUAGCUUUAGAAAUUAUUAACAUGGAAUACAUAAUAUACUUUAUCUGUAUGAGGUUAAUUCUUAUUUUUUUAAAUCUAUUUGUUAAAUGUUGGCAGGCAGAGUAUAUACUCCAGUUUAUCCUGAAUUUGAAUUUGGGUGUACGUGAUCUUACUUUUUUUUUGCGGGAAGUGUACCUGAUCUUCCUAGCUUCUAAUUCUACUGAGCUAUACUGAUGAUGGUGUGUUUGCUCUCACACAUUUAUUCAAAGGACCAUUAUGAUGAAUGAUGUCCAAUUCUAGGUUGCUGGAACUUGCAUCCAAUCCUGCUAUUCCCAACUGGUGUGUUUAUAGGUUGCAGUGCUAGUCGUGGUCUCCUCCUGAUGGAGCUCUGUAUACGCCCUUAUUGUUUAGCUAAAAAUCCCUUCUCUCCUAAGAUCUUGUAAGAAUCUUUCUUUUUUUCUUAAGAAGCAUGCUAUCAAUGGACGGCAGAUGCUGCAGCACCGAAAAGUUGGUGACCAUGCUUGGUGUUUAAGAGCGCAUAUGAAAAAUAUUUAUCUUUUUUA